rnacentral:rRNA from 1 species
AAGCGGAUCUCUUAAAGCUGUUCUCAGUUCGGACUGCAGUCUGCAACUCGACUGCACGAAGCUGGAAUCGCUAGUAAUCGCGGAUCAGCACGCCGCGGUGAAUACGUUCCCGGGCCUUGUACACACCGCCCGUCACACCAUGGAAGUCUGCAAUGCCCGAAGUCGGUGGCCUAACCACUUAUGUGGAAGGAGCCGUCUAAGGCAGGGCAGAUGACUGGGGUGAAGUCGUAACAAGGUAAC